GAGAGAGAGAGAGAGAGAGAGAGAGAGAGAGAGAGAGAGUCCGGCUACUAUACUCUUAUGAGUAUAGAGCCUCUUGUACUCAUAAGUUUUUAAUCGUUAGAUCUACCCUUUAAUCAUUUUCACCCGUUAGAUUAUACUAUUCAACCAACAACCCACUCAACCCUAGAGGGCCCACUAUCAAACUAAUUGUAACCACUUUCAUCCUAGCCGCAUAUUUUUUCAUCCGAACGGUCGAAAACUUAUGAGCACAAAGGGCUCUAUAAUCAAAUGAGUAUAGUAGCCCCAGCCUAUAAAUAUAUAUAGAGUCCGGCUACUAUACUUUUAUGAGUAUUGGUUCCUUUAUACUCAUAAGUUUUCGGCCCUUGGAUUUGUUCCAUUGAUCAUUUUCACUCGCUAGAUCAUACUAUUCAACCAACUACCCACUCAACCCUAGGGGCCCACUAUCAUUCUAAGUGAGGACCACCAUCAUCCUAAUCACACAUCCUAUCAAUCAACGGUUAAAAAUUUAUGAGUAUAAAGGGGUCUAUACUCAUAAGAGUAUAGUAGCCCCCCAGCC
rnacentral:lncRNA from 1 species